rnacentral:rRNA from 1 species
CCUACGGGUGGCAGCAGUGGGGAAUCUUCCGCAAUGGGCGCAAGCCUGACGGAGCAAUGCCGCGUGAACGAAGAAGGUCUUCGGAUUGUAAAGCUCUGUUCUUAUCGAAGAGAGGGUAUAGAGUGGAAAAUGAUAUACUAGGACGGUCGAUGAGGAAGAAGCCCCGGCUAACUACGUCCCAGCAGCCGCGGUAAUACGUAGGGGGCGAGCGUUGUCCGGAAUCAUUGGGCGUAAAGGGGGCGUAGGCGGUAAUAUAAGUCAGAUGUGAAAGGUGGGGGCUCAACCCCUCGAGUGCAACUGAUACUGUAGAACUUGAGUGUGAGAGAGGGAAGCGGAAUUCCUAGUGUAGCGGUGAAAUGCGUAGAUAUUAGGAGGAACACCAGUGGCGAAGGCGGCUUUCUGGCUCGUAACUGACGCUGAUGCGCGAAAGCGUGGGGAGCAAACAGGAUUAGAUACCCUAGUAGUC